AUUGAACGCUGGCGGCAUGCCUUACACAUGCAAGUCGAACGGCAGCACGGGAGCAAUCCUGGUGGCGAGUGGCGAACGGGUGAGUAAUAUAUCGGAACGUGCCCAGUCGUGGGGAUAACGUAGCGAAAGCUACGCUAAUACCGCAUACGAUCUAUGGAUGAAAGCGGGGGAUCGCAAGACCUCGCGCGAUUGGAGCGGCCGAUAUCAGAUUAGGUAGUUGGUGAGGUAAAGGCUCACCAAGCCGACGAUCUGUAGCUGGUCUGAGAGGACGACCAGCCACACUGGGACUGAGACACGGCCCAGACUCCUACGGAGGCAGCAGUGGGAAUUUUGGACAAUGGGCGCAAGCCUGAUCCAGCAAUGCCGCGUGCAGGAUGAAGGCCUCGGUUGUAACUAGCUUUGUUACGGUAACGAAAGGUUACUAUAAUACUAGAGACUC
rnacentral:rRNA from 1 species